GCAACCAAAUUGUUUUAAGACCAAAACAAUAUUCCUGAAAUGUGAGGUAUGUAAAACUAACAUUCUGAUAGUCAAGGAUCAACAGCAUUUCAGAGAUGGAAAUUACCACACCUUUGAGAUGAUCUGAUCCAACGCUCCUAACCUUAUAGAUGAGAAAACAACUAAAAACCGUAGAUCCAGUGCCACUUUAUAACAAACCUGCACAUCAAAAUAUGGAGAAACAAUCACGAUCCAGGUGAGGAAGCAGAACUUUAAAAUAGAAACCCACAUUUGAUUAUUGACACCUUAAGCUUUAUACAACUUAAAGAGCACAAAAUCGUUUUCUCAAGGCAAAUCAGAGAGACGUUUAGACAAUUUACUACACUAAUUAGCUCAAAUUGAUCAUUUUUACCCUGAAGAAAUCAUAUUAUUCUGGCUAAUGCGGGAAGAAAACACCUAGCUAACUUUCUAGAAUUCACCAAAUUUCCCAUUAGAUACUUAAAGUGCACUUCAAACCUGAGUUUUGAGAAAUGAAAUAUAGCUAACAGUUUUCUUCACUAAUCACUUAGGGUGGUAAACAUCUGGAACGAUAUUUUUCAAUCAGUCACAGCCCACUAUUGGGUCCUGAAAUACACUGAUGUUUAAUAACUAGCAUUUUAAAAAGAAGAGAAAAAAAGACAGGAGGAGGGAAGGAGGAAGGAAAGAAGAAAGGAAGGGAGGGAAGGAGGGAGGAAGGAAAGGAGGUCCCAUUGUGGUUCAGCAUUAACGACUCCGACUAGAAUCCAUGAGGAUGCGGGUUCGAUACCUGGCCUGGCUCAGUGGGUUAAGGAUCCGACGUUGCGGUGAGCUGUGGUGUAGGUCAGAGGCGAGGCUCGGAUCGGGCAUUGCUGAGGUGUAGGCUGACAGCUGCAGCUCUGCUUUGACCCCUAGCCUGGGAAUGUCCAUAUGCCACAUGUGCAGAUCUAAAAAGGAGGGAGAAAGGAAGGAAAGAAGGCAGGCAGGCAGGAAGAAAAAGCAAAUAGAAAAUGUCAGUAGUUCCCAUUGUGGCUUAGCAGGUUAAGCACCUGAGUAGUAUCUAUGAGGAUGCGGGUUCAAUCCCCGGCCUCACCCAGUGGCUUGGGGAUGCUAAUCUGGCGUGGCUGUGGCUGUGGCUGUGGCGUAGGCCAGCAGCUGAAGCUCUGAUUUGACCCCUAGCCUGAAAACUUCCACAUGCUGCAGGUGCAGCCCUAAAAAGCAAAGAGAAAGAAAAAGAAAAUAACAAAGAUGGGGUUUCCACUGUGGCUCAGCAGAAACAAACCCGAUAGUAUCCACAAGGAUGCGCGUUCAAUCCCUGGCCCUACUCAAUGGGUUAAAGAUCCAAUAUUGCCACGAGCUGCAGUGUAAACUCAGACCUGGCAUUACUCUGGCUGUAGUGUAGGCCGGCAGCUACAGCUCCCAAUUGACCCCUAGCCUGGGAAUCUCUAUGCUGCAGGAACAGCUUAGAAAAGAAAACGAAAAAAGAAAAGAAAAUAUCAGAGAAAACUGUACCUAUAUUACUGGCAAGUUCCUGAAAACUGUUUCAGGUGUGUGUGUUCUUAAAAUCACAUUUUUUGGAGUUCCCGGGUGGCUUAGCAGUUAAGGAUUCAGUGUUGUCAUUGCCAUGGGGGGUUUGAUCCCUGGCCCAGGAACUUUCUGCAGCCAAAAAAAUAUAUACAUAUACACAUAUAUCACUUUUUAAACUUAAGUACUCAUAAAACCUAUCACUGUUUGCCGGCCUGUGGGGAUACAGAUGGAAGGGCGAUACACCAGCAGGUGUACCCAAACUAUUGGACCUUAGACAGUCUCUUCCAAUCUUAACCCAAAACAUGUUAUCCUAUCAACAAAUGUUCCUGGAAGGGCAGGACUGAGAACCUCUCAUGAUCUCCCAAGGCAACCAAUUCCAAGAAAACUUGAUAGUGCAGUUCUUCUCAGGUGAAAUGUCUCUAAAAUUGAUUCUAUCUUGUCUAUUUUCCGCUAUCACCAUGGGCUAAAUCUAAAUUCUAUUCCAUAAAGCAGCUCUUAAAAUUUGUCUCUACUUUUUUUUCCUUCAAAGUUUCUGCAUAUCAACAAUCAUCCCCCCCACCCCUCCCCCUUAAAACUUUGGACAUUUACCUCUCUCUCCAUUCUUCUACCCUUCAAAAUUAUUCACAUGCCAAAUUUCAGGAUAUGUAAAAGUUAGAUCAUAGAAGCUAGGUUACAUAAACUCAAUUCAGGGUAAUUUCUCACAAUUGCUUCACUUGAGCUUCACCUUCCUUUUGGCUAAGAUAUAUUGCUUUGACUGUAUCUUACAUUACUCUGCUUUCUACAAUUAAACAGAAUUCAAAAUCGGUCACAAGAAAGUGAAAAUUCAAAAAUAAAAAAUUAAAACAUCAAGAACGUGAAAGAACUCUUAAAAUUUUUUCAAAUGGGAAAACUAAAGGGUUUGGGGGGAGUUCCUAUCGUGGCGCAGUGGUUAACGAAUCCGACUAGGAACCACGAGGUUGCGGGUUCGGUCCCUGCCCUUGCUCAGUGGGUUAAGGAUCCGGCGUUGCUGUGAGCUGUGGUGUAGGUUGCAGACGUGGCUCGGAUCCAGUGUUGCUGUGGCUCUGGCGUAGGCUGGUGGCUGCAGCUCCGAUACGACCCCUAGCCUGGGAACCUCCAUAUGCCGCGGGAGCGGCCCAAGAAAUAGCAAAAAGACAAAAAUAAAUAAAUAAAUAAAUAAAAUAAAGGGUUUGGGGAAGGGUAGAAUUUAGGCGAAAUAUGAAUGAAGCAGUGUCUUGAUAGGCUCAAAGCAUAGUAGGAUUGUGUGAUAAGAAGCCUAUGCCAGGUUAUGGACCCUGAAGUGGACAUUGGGUCCUAUUUCUUGGCAAAGAAGUUAAGGCAGAUGUGAAUUUUGUGUCCAGCAACCCCUCAUUUGAAGUCCUAAAGUUGUAAAUCGAGGGUAUGCUCUGUGUCAAAAGGACUUAGCUUUUCCUGACAAAAAGUUGUAUUUCACUGUUCACUGAUAUAAUCUCAAACAGCAAAGUUUCUGACAGUCUCAUUUCUCAGUAGGAAAGCAGGAGUCAAAGGAUUGUUAUAUAUCUUUCUAGCAGUAGUGUAUGAAUAGUAGUGUACACUACAGCAGUAGUGUAAAGAUAGACUAUUAUCUCAGCC
rnacentral:lncRNA from 1 species